CAUUUGUUACUUUUUUUUCAUUACAGAGCAAUGCUGAUGACACUGGACAUGUGACCCAAUCUUUGGGAGGUGUCUCAACAACUUUGAAAUGCUGGGCUCCAAAAGACGGCGGCCGGGAAUAAGCUCCCCUAUUUGCAUUCUCCUGCGUUUGACGAGACGCCAAAUCAUCAUACACAUGGCACUGAAAUCUUGGCACAUUAGCAGGAGAGCCUCCAGCUGUUGUUUGACAGAGUCGAGGUAGUUGUGCCCUUUUUCUUUAUCGUAUGUUCAACAUUUUUACACAUUCGUAGACUUGAGGGCAUUGAUUUCUUCUUGCCCUUGUUGUACAUGUCGACAACAUAGCUGAAAACUUUUCUUUUAAGUUCGUCCCUGUCUUGCAUAGCUUUCUCAUAUAAACUAAAAUAUGCAAAGUCCCCCCUAGAUAAUUCCUGUGGAUCAUUCAGAAAAAAGUUCCAGCGCCACUACGAUGGCGAAGAGAGUCGGCUUCGUUGUAGCAUUGAACUGACAAAGGAGAACCAGUAUAGAGCUGAAGAUCUCUCCCACCUCAUCUUCCAUGAUUUGAAAGAAAUCAGGCCUUCACCUGAUUCUCUGGAGAAGUUCAGGCCCAUGUUAACCCAUCUGUAAAAAAAUUGCAAAAUUUCUUUGAAGCUCCACUUGUGCAUCCUCUCCCAAAAACAAAGUUGCACUUAUGUAUAUAGCCGAAUAUUUCUAUUCUAGUGCCCACGUGCAUGUAAUGUUUUUGCUUAUGAAUGUGUGUUUUUAUUGGUGUCGUCCAACCAAACAUAUCCUGAAAUAUCUGUGGUGCUUCAAUGAUGCUUGGCUUGUAUGCUACCUUCUGUAAUUCAACAUGUUUU